UUCCGGUUGAUCCUGCCGGAGGUUACUGCUAUCGGUGUUCGCCUAAGCCAUGCGAGUCAUAUGUAGCAAUACAUGGCGUACUGCUCAGUAACACGUGGAUAACCUGCCCUUGGGUCCGGCAUAACCCCGGGAAACUGGGGAUAAUUCCGGAUAACGCACAUAUGCUGGAAUGCUUUAUGCGUCAAAUGGAUUCGUCUGCCCAAGGAUGGGUCUGCGGCCUAUCAGGUAGUAGUGGGUGUAAUGUACCUACUAGCCGACAACGGGUACGGGUUGUGAGAGCAAGAGCCCGGAGAUGGAUUCUGAGACAUGAAUCCAGGCCCUACGGGGCGCAGCAGGCGCGAAAACUUUACAAUGCGGGAAACCGUGAUAAGGGGACACCGAGUGUCAGCAUCAUAUGCUGGCUGUCCAGGUGUGUAAAAUACACCUGUUAGCAAGGGCCGGGCAAGACCGGUGCCAGCCGCCGCGGUAACACCGGCGGCCCGAGUGGUGAUCGUGAUUAUUGGGUCUAAAGGGUCCGUAGCCGGUUUGGUCAGUCCUCCGGGAAAUCUGAUAGCUCAACUAUUAGGCUAUCGGGGGAUACUGCCAGGCUUGGAACCGGGAGAGGUAAGAGGUACUACAGGGGUAGGAGUGAAAUCUUGUAAUCCCUGUGGGACCACCUGUGGCGAAGGCGUCUUACCAGAACGGGUUCGACGGUGAGGGACGAAAGCUGGGGGCACGAACCGGAUUAGAUACCCGGGUAGUCCCAGCCGUAAACGAUGCUCGCUAGGUGUCAGGCAUGGCGCGACCGUGUCUGGUGCCGCAGGGAA
rnacentral:rRNA from 1 species